GACGAACGCUGGCGGCGUGCUUAACACAUGCAAGUCGAACGGAAAGGCCCUGCUUUUGUGGGGUGCUCGAGUGGCGAACGGGUGAGUAACACGUGAGUAACCUGCCCUUGACUUUGGGAUAACUUCAGGAAACUGGGGCUAAUACCGGAUAGGAGCUCCUGCUGCAUGGUGGGGGUUGGAAAGUUUCGGCGGUUGGGGAUGGACUCGCGGCUUAUCAGCUUGUUGGUGGGGUAGUGGCUUACCAAGGCUUUGACGGGUAGCCGGCCUGAGAGGGUGACCGGCCUCAUUGGGACUGAGAUACGGCCCAGACUCCUACGGGAGGCAGCAGUGGGGAAUACUGCACAAUGGGCGGAAGCCUGAUGCAGCAACGCCGCGUGCGGGAUGACGGCCUUCGGGUUGUAAACCGCUUUCGCCUGUGACGAAGCGUGAGUGACGGUAAUGGGUAAAGAAGCACCGGCUAACUACGUG
rnacentral:rRNA from 1 species